rnacentral:sRNA from 1 species
GGGAAGGUGUCGGGGAGGGGUCACGGUGCUUCUGGCAUGAGGAACUGGGAGGCCGGAGAUGCCAUGUGUCAAAUUGGACGACAGAGGAGGAGCGAGUGGAGGAUUUAGAUGCCUGCGGGACAGGCGAGCGGGGCAGCCAGAUUCUUUCCACCAUGGCCAGACGCCCCCGGAACAGCAGGGCCUGGCACUUCGUCCUGAGUGCAGCCCGCCGAGACGCAGAUGCCCGGGCCGUGGCUCUAGCAGGCUCCACCAACUGGGGCUACGACUCUGAUGGGCAGCACAGUGACUCGGACUCCGACCCCGAGUACUCCACGCUGCCGCCAUCCAUCCCCAGUGCGGUGCCCGUGACCGGCGAGUCCUUCUGUGACUGUGCUGGGCAGGGUGAGGCCUCCUCCUGUAGCAGCCUGCACGCGGCCCACCGGGGCAAGGACUGCCGCUGCGGAGAGGAAGACGAGUGUGAGCGUGGGGCCCAGCCCCUGCUGGGACUGCACUGCGGGUGGGCCUGGGAGCGGGCAGGGCAGAGCCCCAUGGAGCUCUCGGGGCUGCCCCAGCCUGGGCCUCUCUUGCAGAUUUCGACUGGGUCUGGGAUGACUUGAAUAAGUCAUCAGCUACCCUGCUGAGCUGUGACAACCGUAAGGUCAGCUUCCACAUGGAGUACAGCUGCGGCACAGCGGCCAUCCGGGGCACCAAGGAGCUGGGGGAGGGCCAGCACUUCUGGGAGAUCAAGAUGACCUCACCCGUCUAUGGCACCGACAUGAUGGUGGGCAUCGGGACGUCGGAUGUGGACCUGGACAAAUACCGCCACACGUUCUGCAGCCUGCUGGGCAGGGAUGAGGACAGCUGGGGCCUCUCCUACACGGGUGCGUGAGGCCCAGGGUGGGGCGGGGCUGAGCCUGGAGCUCCUGGGCUCACUGCAACCCCGGCUGCCCCCAGGCCUCCUCCACCACAA